rnacentral:rRNA from 1 species
UACGUAGGGUGCAAGCGUUAAUCGGAAUUACUGGGCGUAAAGCGUGCGCAGGCGGUUAUGUAAGACAGGGGUGAAAUCCCCGGGCUUAACCUGGGAACUGCAUUUGUGACUGCAUAGCUAGAGUACGGUAGAGGGGGAUGGAAUUCCGCGUGUAGCAGUGAAAUGCGUAGAUAUGCGGAGGAACACCGAUGGCGAAGGCAAUCCCCUGGACCUGUACUGACGCUCAUGCACGAAAGCGUGGGGAGCGAACAGG